CCCUUAGUAACGGCGAGCGAAAAGGGAAAAGUCCAGCGCCAAGUCUUGACGCCCAAAGCGUUCAAGAGAUGCGGCGUUAAUGUAUUAUCGCAUCGUACAUUGUUGCCUGUUUCAAGUUCCCUUGACAGGGACAUCCAUAGCGGGUGCUAGGCCCAUAGAGGCAGGCAACCGAUGUGCGCAGAUAAUGCAUUCUAGAGUCAGGUUGCUUGAGAGUGCAGCUUAAAGUAGGUGGUAAACUCCAUCUAAGGCUAAAUAUGACAGCGAGACCGAUAGCAAACAAGUACCGUGAGGGAAAGUUGCAAAGCACUUUGAAGAGAGAGUUCAACAGUACGUGAAACCACUGGGAGGCAAACAGAUGGAACCACGAAGUUGCGCCUCGCUCGAUUCAAUCAUUGUUGCCAGUUACCGGUUCUUGUGUGGAUCUUUUCGGAGAUUAGCAAGUGUCGUGGAAUUGGUUUCAAUGGUGCAUUUCGUGUGAGGAUGCUAAGCCACGUUCGAUUAGAGUUGGGACGGCCGUAGGACAGAAUUCGAGGAAGGUGACCGGAAAGUGCUUGCAUUUUUCGGUGUUAUAGCCUUGAAUUGGUACCGUCGCCUAACAAACUGAUCGAUAAAAAUUCUCCUUAGGAGUUGAACUGUGUCUGCCUGAAGCCGUUAGUCAACAUUUUGAAUAGUUCUUUACGUAUCUUUGGUGCGGAAAGGCCGUUCAACAAUGUUGGUUAAUGGCUGCUUGCGUGACAUGGUGGAACUGUGGCGCGAGUAGGUCGGUUUCCCUCUGACCC
rnacentral:rRNA from 1 species